rnacentral:lncRNA from 1 species
UUCAAUGAUAAUACCAAACACAACUGUAUAGAUAGAUAUAUACUAUUGGAUUUUUGCAGGUAUUGUUCUAGAGUCCUUUGGAUUUGGGAUUUUGAUUUGUGUUUUGAUGGGUUCUUCGUAUUUUUUUCUGAUGCGAAAUUCUAAGGUAUUCAAUUUGUAGUUUGUUCUUCUUCUGCCUCCGAUGGCUACUAGUGUUUCGAUGGUGUUGCGUUGCAGGUAUUAUGGCUAUCUAUUUAAUUGAUAAGGAUUGUUGCGGAGAGAGAGCUCACUAUAGGCUCGGUAGGAGCCUUGUUGCAUGUGCGAUGGUGAUGGCUUCGGAGUUUCCACAGUCAAGCCAAGGUGUGUUUGGCUUCCUCUAAGCUGCACAGUUCGGCUGGUGUGUUUGGCUUCAUCUAAGCUGCAGAGUUCGGCUGAUGAGCACCCUGUCGCUUUAUUGAGACAUGAUUUCUAUGGGUCUUGGCUGAGAGUCAAAAACAGUGUUUGGAGCUGUUGGACUGAGUUGCUAGGCUGGAUUAUGUUCUUGGACCGAAAUGAUUUGAGUUGUUUUUCUAUGGCC